UACGACUACAUAUCAGGCAUAUCAAUAAGCGGAGGAAAAGAAACUAACAAGGAUUCCCUUAGUAACGGCGAGUGAAGCGGGAAGAGCUCAAAUUUGAAAUCUUCAAGGUUUUACCUUGACGAAUUGUAGUUUAAAGAAGUGUUUUCUGUUGAAGUUUCGGUAAAAGUUCUUUGGAAUAGGACAUCAUAGAGGGUGAGAAUCCCGUAUUUGACCAUUACUUCCAGCGUUGUGAUACACUUUCAAAGAGUCGGAUUAUUUGGGAAUGCAGUCCAAAAUGGGUGGUAAAUUUCAUCUAAAGCUAAAUAUUGGCGAGAGACCGAUAGCGAACAAGUACCGUGAGGGAAAGAUGAAAAGAACUUUGAAAAGAGAGUUAAACAGUACGUGAAAUUGUCAAAAGGGAAGCGUUUGACACCAGUGUUGUUUAGUUGAAAAUCAAUUAAAUAGUUUUCGAUUUUAAGUAGUAUUGACCUUAUCAGCUUGCUGCUUUCUUCUCGGAAAUUAUUUAAUGCACUUUUCAGUUAACAAGUCAACAUCAAUUUCUUUUGUUGUAAAAAGGUAAGAGGAAGGUGGCUUGCGCUUCGGCUCAAGUGUUUAUAGCCUUUUACUUCUGCAAUCGGAGAGAUUGAGGUCUGCAGCGUAGAUCCUUCGGGGUUAGAUACAUUUGUGCUAAGCUAUAGCCUUGUAUAGACAACUUGUUGACUAUGCUCAGUCAUGUAGCUUACUCGCUUAUGCUAUUUUACCUACGCUUAGGAUGUUGAAUCUGUGCGAGACUAC
rnacentral:rRNA from 1 species